AUGCUCCCAUUGGUAGCACAUCUAUUAACAUUGGAAGCCUACAGAGAUUAGCAUGGCCCUGCAGAAGGAUGACAUGCAAAUUUGUAAAGUGUUCCAUAUUUUU